rnacentral:lncRNA from 1 species
AAAAAUAAUUUAUUUUUAAUUUUAAAAUUUUAAAAAGCAUUCUAAAAGUUCUCUUCCAAAUCUCUCCAAUUCUAAUACAAACAAACAUUACGGUAAGGAGCUAAAUGACCAUUUUCUCUCUAUUUAAAAUUAGCUUCACAAAGGCUGGAAAUAGAAAUUCCACCAAGUUGCCCCUUAGUAACCGUCAACUCUUCCAACUUGCAGAUCGACCUCAUGACCUUCCUUAUUGCAACGUCGUGACGUUGAUGGAGGACUUCUCACUUGUUGGUGUCAGGGCAUCGACACCCCAAUCUCAAGAUCGGCAUGUCGCAACUUAUUAAGUCGACAUCGCAAAUUUAACACUCUUUAUAUCACGACGUCAAUCACUUUCUACAUCAAUUAUAUUUUAGAAUCAAUCAACGUCACACCUUUAAAAUUCAUAACCUCUUAUCUAAUCAUCCUUAGCAUCCCAAAGAAAAUAUCUCAUGUUGCGACCACGAUCAUUACCACGUUGCGACAUUUCCUUGUUUCAACCAAUCUUCCAUGUCUUGUAUGUCUUGGUCCUUCUAGCACUCCUACAUAGUCACUAUAUGAGUAUCAUUUACUACAUAAAACUAAGGUAACAUCAGAAACACUAAAAUAGACAUAAAAACAGGACUAACACUAAAUGCAACACGUUGAAUUGCUAAUCAAUUAAAAUACUUAAUUUUACCUAUGCUUAAUAUAUAGGUUGGUCUCAAAAUUUGGCAACUAUUCUCAAAUUGACCUUUAAAUAUUUUUAGAUCAGAUUGGUUCUUAAGGUUGGCAUCUGUUACAUAAAUUGAUUUUUAUGGUUAACACCGUUAGUUUUUUAACAGUUGGGUGAUAUGGCCAAACACAUAGGUGACAUGAGGACAAAUAGAGGAGUGAAAUGUGCCUUCCUCUUUAAUUAUUCUAAAAUUUUAAAUUAAAAAAUAUAUAAAUUCAAAAAAUGUAAAUAAUUUUUUAGAAAAUAUAAGAAAUAUAUGAAAUUUAUAAAAAUUCAAAAAAUAUAAAAUAGUUAAAUUUUUCUAAAAUUUUAACAUUACUUUUUUGAAUUUUUCAAAAUAUUUUGAGAACAUUUUUUUAGUUUCUUUUUGAAAUUUUAACUAAUUUUUUAUUUUUAUGUUUUGAACUAUACGUAUUAUUUUUUGAAUUUUUAUAAUUUAUUAUCAUUUCGUAUACUUCUCUAAAAAAUUUACUUUUUUUAAUUUAUACACUUUUUGGAUUUUUAAGAUUUUUUUUAUUACAAUUUUUAGAAUAACUAAAUAGGAAGACAUGGGUUUUUAUUAAAGCAAUUUUGCAAGCUAUUCCAACCUAUUCGAUGGCCUGUUCUUUAUUACCUAAGUCACUAUGUGAGGAGCUUGAAAGUAUUUUAGCAAAGUAUUGGUGGCAGCAAGGUUGGGGGAAGAGGGGAACUCAUUGGUGCACUUGGCAAAACCUUUGUUUUUUAAAAAAAAAUGGUGGCUUAGGUUGUCGUAAUUUAGGUCAAUUUAAUAUUGCGUUGCUAAACAAGGUUGGCGUUUGAUUAGUUAUCCUUGUUCAUUAUUAGCCAGGGUUUUGAAAGUGAAAUACUAUCCGAGAUCGAAUUUCUUAGAGGCUCAGUUAGGAACUUUACCUUCACUUACCUGGAAGAGCAUUUGGGCAGCCAAGGGUCUCUUUAAAAAAGGAUUAUGCUGGAGAAUUGGGCAAGGAAAUAAGGUAUCCAUUUGGGAUGAUUGCUGGAUUCAGGGGAUUGAUUCAUUGGAAAGGCCAAACAAUUCAGAAAAUAUGCAGAUAGAGUUAGUUUCGGAUCUUAUUGAUAAUACUAAUAGGAAAUGAAGGGCAGAGUUAAUUAGCAAUACCUUUCAGCCAUAGGUGACUCGAUCAGUCUUAGAGAUCCCAUUAUCAGAAUCUACCCACGUAGAUUUUCAAGUCUGGAGGGGUGAACCGACUGGUACAUACUCAGUUUGCAGUGCUUACAAACUAUUACAAAUUGCUAAUCUGGAUCCUAGUGAUUAUUUAUUACAGAUCGAAUAUAAGGACUUUUUUAGAAAAUUAUGGAAUUUGCAACUACCACCUAAAGUUACAAUUACAAUUUGGCACAUAUCCUGGAAUUAUAUUCCCACUUUGGGAAAUCUCAGACAUAGAAGAAUAGUGUCCAAGGCCAGAUGCCCUCGUUGUGGCUAUGAAGUGGAGGACUGUCAUCACAUCUUCAGGCAAUGCCCUAAAAGCAUCGAAGUUUGGCAGUUAGUAAAUUUAUCAUGGGUCACAUAUAUUUUUUAACUUAAUUUCUAGGAAUGGCUUACCGAGGUUUUCAAACAAGGGUAGAAGGAACAAUGCAGAUACUUUUGUUUUGCCUUAUGGAUGCUCUGGUUUUCAAGGAAUCGACUGUUGCAUGAGAAGAUAAACGUAAUAGGUGAAAGCAUCACGCAACAGAUUCAGAAUCAUAUGACAGAGUUUGAGGGGGUUAGAGCAAAAAAGAUUUUAACAAACACGGUCAAUAAACAAAGUGUGAGGGAAGACGUACUGAUGGUGAAGAUUCAAUUUGAUGCGGCAUUUGACUACAAAGAGCACAGAUCGGUAUCAGGGCUGGUGAUUUGGGGCACGAGGAACGAGUUUCUGGUUUCGAAGUCAAUCAUUCAUGCCAAUAUUGCAUCUCCGUUCACAGCAGAGGCACAUGCAGGAUUGGAUGCAGUAAAGUUAGGAAUCGAAAUGGGUUUUCAGGAAGUUUAGAUAUUGGGUGACUCAAGAACAGUAAUUCAAAAAUGUCAGUCAACAAAAAGGGAUUACUCAGUUACCGGAGUGAUUAUUAGAGACAUCCACAACAAUAAAUUAUACUUUCAAAAGAUCGAGUUCAAAUACAUUCAGAUAACAGAGAAUAGGAGAGCUCAUAAUAUCACAAGUGAAUCAUUGAAGAAAUGAGAGAAUACAUACCUGGAGAGCGAAGAACUGAUUCAGCGCACUGGCAGUGAAGUAGAACAACGGGCAAGGAAUCCAGACUAAUGGAUUAGGAGAAAUUUGUUUUCAAAAUAGGAUAGCAAAGAAAGUAUCCUUGGGCAGAACUAUUGACAGACAGAUAGAAUGGAAGAGAAUGACGAUAAGACAAGUCAUGCAAGACUAAUGGUUUCCAGCCGUUGAAGUGUGAAUACUUGGUAGAUUAGAUUUAAUUUUCCUAGGCUAUUAAUUGCUUUGCCGGUUUCCAUUUAUUUUUUUGAUUUAUUUUUUUUUUCAAUUUGAUUUACUGGCUUCCAAUACAGAUGGUAGAAGGCUGGGGCGGUCAUUGGGCUUGCCUUAGUAGGCCAGAACAAUUAUUUUUUGG